CACAGAACAGCCCUUUGAUAAGGGUUGUUUGCUCCCAGGUCCUGGGAAGCCCAGGAGGACGUGGCAGGAAUGCCUCGCUGGACCUGGGCUGCUGAGGAACGCAGGUCAGACCUCCAGCAGCUGAGGCGGGGACAGGAAAGGACACCAUCCUGACACCAACUGGGCCACCGUCAACCCGGGGCCGCUUCCUGACCUUGAAACAGUGACUGCUGACUUCCCUCUCUGAGCAGUAGUCAUGUAUGGAUGUGACAGUUGGACCAUAAAGAAGGUUGAGAGCCAAAGAACU